GACGUAGGGCGCGAGCGUUGUCCGGAUUUAUUGGGCGUAAAGAGCUCGUAGGCGGCUUGUCGCGUCGUUCGUGAAAACCCGGGGCUCAACCCCGGGCUUGCGGGUCGAUACGGGCAGGCUGGAGUUCGGUAGGGGAGACGUGGAAUUCCUGGUGGUAGCGGUGAAAUGCGCAGAUAUCAGGAGGAACACCGGUGGCGAAGGCGGGUCUCUGGGCCACUGACUGACGCUGGAGAAGCGAAAGCAUGGGGAGCGAACAGGA
rnacentral:rRNA from 1 species